rnacentral:rRNA from 1 species
GAAGAACCUUACCACCCCUUGACAUCCUCGGAACUGCCUGGAGACAGGCAGGUGCCUUCGGGAACCGAGUGACAGGUGCUGCAUGGCUGUCGUCAGCUCGUGUCGUGAGAUGUUGGGUUAAGUCCCGUAACGAGCGCAACCCUUGUCCUUAUUUGCCAGCGGGUCAGGCCGGGAACUCUAGGGAGACUGCCGGUGACAAACCGGAGGAAGGUGGGGAUGACGUCAAGUCAUCAUGGCCCUCACGGGGUGGGCUACAAACGUGCUACAAUGGGCGGCACAGAGGGAUGGGAACCAGCAAUGGCAAGCGAAUCCCAAAAAACCGCUCGUAGUCCGGAUAGGAGUCUGCAACUCGACUCCUUGAAGUCGGAAUCGCUAGUAAUCGCGAAUCAGA